GAUGAACGCUGGCGGCGUGCCUAAUACAUGCAAGUCGAGCGAACAGACGAGGAGCUUGCUCCUCUGACGUUAGCGGCGGACGGGUGAGUAACACGUGGAUAACCUACCUAUAAGACUGGGAUAACUUCGGGAAACCGGAGCUAAUACCGGAUAAUAUAUUGAACCGCAUGGUUCAAUAGUGAAAUACGGUUUUGCUGUCACUUAUAGCUGGAUCCGCGCCGCAUUAGCUAGUUGGUAAGGUAACGGCUUACCAAGGCAACGAUGCGUAGCCGACCUGAGAGGGGGAUCGGCCAAACUGGAAGGGAGACACGGUCAAGACGACUACGGGAGGCAGCAGUAGGGAAUAUUACGCAAUGGGCGAAAGCAUGACGGAGCAACGCCGCGUGAGUGAUGAAGGUAUUCGGAUCGUAAAACUCUGUUAUUAGGGAAGAACAAAUGUGUAAGUAAAUAUGCACGUAUUGACGGUACCUAAUCAGAAAGCCACGGCUAACUACGUG
rnacentral:rRNA from 1 species